GAUGAACGCUGGCGGCGUGCUUAACACAUGCAAGUCGAACGAAGAGCGAUGGAAGCUUGCUUCUAUCAAUCUUAGUGGCGAACGGGUGAGUAACGCGUAAUCAACCUGCCCUUCAGAGGGGGACAACAGUUGGAAACGACUGCUAAUACCGCAUACGAUCUAAUCUCGGCAUCGAGGAUAGAUGAAAGGUGGCCUCUACAUGUAAGCUAUCACUGAAGGAGGGGAUUGCGUCUGAUUAGCUAGUUGGAGGGGUAACGGCCCACCAAGGCGAUGAUCAGUAGCCGGUCUGAGAGGAGGAACGGCCACAUUGGGACUGAGACACGGCCCAGACUCCUACGGGAGGCAGCAGUGGGGAAUCUUCCGCAAUGGACGAAAGUCUGACGGAGCAACGCCGCGUGAGUGAUGACGGCCGUCGGGUUGUAAAGCUCUGUUAAUCGGGACGAAAGGCCUUCUUGCGAAUAGUGAGAAGGAUUGACGGUACCGGAAUAGAAAGCCACGGCUAACUACGUG
rnacentral:rRNA from 1 species